CCUACGGGAGGCUGCAGUAGGGAAUUUUGCGCAAUGGGCGCAAGCCUGACGCAGCAACGCCGCGUGAUCGAGACGCCCUUCGGGGUGUAAAGAUCUGUCAGUGGGGACGAAACUUGACGGUACCAACAGAGGAAGCACCGGCUAACUCCGUGCCAGCAGCCGCGGUAAUACGGGGGGUGCAAGCGGUGUCCGGAAUCAUUGGGCGUAAAGAGUUCGUAGGCGGCACGGAAAGUCUGGUGUUAAAGGCAGAGGCUCAACUUCUGUACGGCAUUGGUUACUUUCUAGCUAGAAUGCUGUAGAGGUAAAGGGAAUUCCUGGUGUAGCGGUGAAAUGCGUAGAUAUCAGGAGGAACAUCGGUGGCGUAAGCGCUUUACUGGGCCGUAAUUGACGCUGAGGAACGAAAGCCAGGGGAGCAAAUGGGAUUAGAUACCCCUGUAGUC
rnacentral:rRNA from 1 species